AUAGCGUAUAUUAAAGUUGUUGCAGUUAAAAAGCUCGUAGUUGGAUUUGUGGCUGUCGUGCGCUUUUCUUCUCAAUGAGUUGAUGUAGUGUCGCGUCGCCAUCCUGGGGUGGAUCCUGUGUGGCAUUAGGUCGUCGUGCAGGGGAUGCCCAUCGUUUACUGUGAAAAAAUUAGAGUGUUCAAAGCAGGCUUAUGCCGUUGAAUAUAUUAACAUGGAAUAAUAAGAUAGGACCUGGGUACUAUUUUGUUGGUUUGCGCACCAAGGUAAUGAUUAAUAGGGUCAGUUGGGGGUAUUCGUAUUCCAUUGUCAGAGGUGAAAUUCUUGGAUUUUUGGACACGAACGUACUGCGAAAGCAUUUACCAAGGAUUUUGUC
rnacentral:rRNA from 1 species